rnacentral:lncRNA from 1 species
GCCUCGCCGUGCGUCGUCCCAAGCGCCGGCUGACGAAGCUAAACCGCCGCGUCUCUUCUUCUUCUUCUCCGACCAUGCUCGUCUCUCCCUCUCUCUCUCUCUCUCUAUUCAAUGCUAAAAUUGAAUAAAGAGUAAAGUUAAACAUUUAAAUUGAAUACAAAGUAAGUUACACAUUAAAAUUGGAGGUUCGUAAGUUAUAGAUUAUGAUGUGUCACUUGGAAUACACGUCAUUGCCACGUGGUUCACGUCAUUGCCACGUGGUUAUGCCGGGAAAUAAAUCGAUGCUAAAAUUGAACACGGAGCAAAGGUAGCCAUAUUAAUUGGAACUUUUAAAAGUCGUGCUAAAUUUGGAUUUCGGCUUAAGUUCAUGAUAUUACAUGCAUUUAACCCAAAUAAAUUCACAACCUAAACAAUAAUUUAUAGUUCCUAACAACAUAUAUCACAACAAACUCCAUCACUUACUCUUUCCAAAAUAAUAGUACAAAAUAAUAUGCAAAUAGUUCAAAUAAAAAACUUCCAAUUGUGACAACUUCUUGCACUGAAUCUACAAAGUAAUUAUACCGAACCUAUAAUUAACUUCUUGCACUGAAUCUACAAACAUUUGAUGAAGCAGUCUGCUAUCUCUUCAUGAUACUCCAUCAAUCCCUUAAUUAAAUCACCCCAUUUAAUCUCCUCAACUAAAUAUUAAAUGUCUGUAAUUAAUGUAGAGAAGAUGGUUUUAGAAGAUGAUGACCUGAUUUAGCAUCCAUUUGAAACCAACAACAACUGUGCAUUUUAACUCCAAGUGCAAACUGCUACCCAGUUCCUGAAGACUUAAUCAAGCGGAGGCAAAUAACUAGAGAUGUAUGUUGCCAAAUAGAUUCGAAUCACCAAAAGUAAAAGAAUAAAAUUAGAAAACUUGAAUUAAAAUCAAGAACAAGAAAUAUCUAAAUGAAUUGGGUGUGAGAAUUGCAUCACUUGCGUCUGCUUCUUCUUUUUCUUACCUGAGAAAAGGGAGGUCGGACUUCGGAGAGGGAGGGCGUGAGGGGGCUCACGAGCAGAUUCUGGGAGAAGUCGAGGGUGGUGGGUGGCGAGAUUCCGGCAGACGGGCGCGGCGGCACUGGAGAGAGGCGAGAGAUCAGACGAGAGGGUGCAGAGGGAGAUGGGCGCGGCAGCGCUGGAGAUUCCACCGGCGCCGAUGGCCGGUGGGACGGGGCACCGGUCGCCGGAGGCAGACGGAAGGGCGUGAAGGGCGUGGAGUUGAGAGACAGGCUGAAUCUGAAUUCAAAAUUCUGAUUCUGAUGCCCUAGGCUAAAUGUAUUAAUUAAUUUGAUAAA